rnacentral:rRNA from 1 species
AUUGAACGCUGGCGGCAGGCCUAACACAUGCAAGUCGAACGAGUGGCGGACGGGUGAGUAAUGUCUGGGAAACUGCCUGAUGGAGGGGGAUAACUACUGGAAACGGUAGCUAAUACCGCAUACCAUCGGAUGUGCCCAGAGGGGAUUAGCUAGUAGGUGGGGUAAAGGCUCACCUAGGCGACGAUCCCUAGCUGGUCUGAGAGGAUGAACAGCCACACUGAAUCUGAGACACGGUCCAGACACCUACGGGAGGAAGCAGUAGGGAACAUUGCACAAUGGGCGCAAGCCUGAUGCAGCCAUGCCGCGUGUAUGAAGAAGGCCUUCGGGUUGUAAAGUUCUUCGAGCAGGUAAGCGUUACCCUCAGAAGAAGCACCGGCUAACUCCGUGCCAGCAGCCGCGUUAAUUC